CCACUCAACGACUUUGAUUUGAUUUCCUUUCUCCUUGCAGGCUUGGGAUCUGAAUUUGAUCCCUUUGUCACCUCAGUGACCACCCGAGUGGACCCAAUGUCCCUUUAAGAGCUCUAUGCUCACCUCCUCACCCAUGAAA